AUUCGACCAUGUCAGAUGCAGUUUUGCUUGGAAGGGAGCUGGUAUAUUUGUAAUUGAUGUGUAUGAUGGCAUGUCUUCUGAAUGCAAGCUUCGUCUCAAUAGGAGAUCCUCCAACUUCAGUGUAUUGAAGUUUGACGGAUUGGAGAAUCAGAUGGUAGUCGCUGGAGAUGCAAGGAACUCCCAUGCUUGCAGCGAUGCACUUGGUGGGCAUUCCUUGCAUUUGUCCUGUAGAAUCACGCGGGUACAUGUAUUUAAUUAUAGCAAAGUCACCAUGUCUUUAUCAUGCCAGUAUGCCAAUGCCCAGAAAUUAGAUAACAGAGGGAAGUCACCAGCUCUGAAAGCAUACCAAAUAUUUCAGUUUUUAGGCCACUGCUCAAUUUUGAAGAGCUACUCCUUUGAACUAGAUAUGUGAGCUUUUUGUAAACUACAGGAUAUCAUAGUUUGCUAACUGGAAAAAGAACUCUUUGAUGUUGGGCAUAUCCUGUAGUACUUAAAUCAUUAUUUUUUUACACAUGUGAUGCAAAUCUUAUUCGUUUAGAAAAAUGGUGAAUCUACAGGAUUGGUAUGAACUCAGAAUACAAAUUUUGGGACAUCUAUUAACAUUGAAAGAGAAUGAAUGUGAAGACAAUAUGUGUGCUGGUGUCCUGGGAUUCAUCAGUUGUAUCAGGAAAACCAAAGUAAAACAGGACAUCAUUGUUCUCCAAUAUGAAACUAUAGAGAAGGGACCUGACGUACAUUUGUGUAACACAGUUCAGUAAACACGUCUGGAGACUAUUUCUUCUUCGAGAUUGAUUUACUUGGUGGUGCUAUUGCCCAUUUCCUCUUAACAAGACAUGUGUGAUGUUCCAGAAAAGGAGCUUAUGUGUUGUCUGGUAGCCUUGAUGGUAGUUUUAUACAUGUAGCUGAGGAAAGUGUG